UACGAAGGGGCUAGCGUUGCUCGGAAUCACUGGCGUAAAGGGUGCGUAGGCGGGUCUUUAAGUCAGGGGUGAAAUCCUGGCAGCUCAACUCCAGAACUGCCUUUGAUACUGAGGAUCUUGAGUUCGGGGAGAGGUGAGUGGAACUGCGAGUGUAGAGGUGAAAUUCGUAGAUAUUCGCAAGAACACCAGUGGCGAAAGGCGGCUCACUGGCCCG
rnacentral:rRNA from 1 species